UGCAUUUCAUUUUUCAAAUUUUUAUACAAAGCAGAUCGACAUACAUUUCGUUCUAUCACUUGCAAUUUUACUCGACGCCAUUUUAUUAUUUUUCCUAUUUAAGAAUUCCUUGUAAAAAAAUUACUAUAAAAAAAAUUACAAUGCCAGAAGAUUAUGCGUAAGAAAUUAUAAGCGCAUAUAUACUAAAUACAUAAUGCUAUUGCUAUACUGGAACUUACGUCAGCGACCGUAGUUCAAACCAUACGCAUGUUAACGGUAGUGGCCGACCACCAACCUUCCAGCAAAAUGUAGGGACCAUUUUUAAUUAAUGAUUCGAUUAUUUGAUUGUUUUGAUUAAAUGAUAUUAGUAUAAAAUUCGCAAUUGAUUCGAUUAAAUGAUAAAUAAAUAUGUACCUAAUGGAUAAAUAAAAUAUUUUUACGGCAGUUUUCUUCACAUUUUAUGGUCAUCAAAUUAUUUGAUAAAGUUAGUACCUACCUAUCUACUUACCCAUAUCAUCCAGGUUCAAUUACACUGAAAAAAAGAAAUAGCUGAACCAGUUUUGCUAUUUGCAAAUUUCUUUAAUAGAUACCAAACUUUGGUUGUAAUUAUCUAAACCAAUGUAACUGCAUGUCCCAAACCAGAUAAGCUAAUCAGUUCUUGAUAAUCAGUAAUCAAAAUGUUAGCUAUUAUUUAUUAAAAUAAACCAGUCAAACUACUUUAGCUGCAAGAACAAACUGUUUCAUAGCUGGUAACCGAACAUAUGUACUUAAAUUUAAUACAAUGUUGAUUAAAACAUUGUCAUGAAUUUAUUUAUAGAUAACACAAUCAAAGUCAUUAUUUGGACAUUCAUCAAUUUAUUUAUUUGUAGUAAACUUUUCUAGCAGCCAUUAAAUCAUCAUUUGAUUAAUAUUUGCCUAGGUAUGUCGAAUGUAUGAAGUUAAAAUAAAAAUGUAAGUAUUAUCACAAAACUGUUUAACAAUAUUUAAUUAAAAUAUUGUUAAAACUAGUUGGCACUGUUGGCAGCACUGCGUCCGAGUCAGUACAUUAAAGUUAUAUGCGAUUCACGUUAGAACUCGUUCUCUGCGUUCGGUCAUUAUUGUGUGGCUUGGCUGGUGAAGGCGGCAAAUCGAAUUGAUUUUCACAUUCCUAUUGUUUUCGGGAGAUUUGUAGCGACAUUAUGUAUAUAAAAAAACUUAGUAAACGUGUUUUCGUAAUAAAUAGUGCAAUGGCAGACGGUCAAGACGAGACCUCCGCUGAUCCUAUGAGUGACUAUUUGCGCUUAUGGGGUCUUGAAAUGUACAUAAAUUUGUUCAAAGCAUAAUAUCCAUGAUGAUAGCAUCCCUGCAUCAUCGCAUCAUCAAAUGCUGUGUGUAUCAAUAACUUGCCAAUCCUUACUGAUAGCAUCAUACAUUACCUACUAGUAUAUUGCUGAAUCAGGACUUGAAAACUUACAGAACUUGGAUAAAUAUACAGAAUGAGGAAGUACCAAACUUAAAUACAAAUGGAGUAUACAACACUUUGAGUUCAUGUAAUGAAGGAAAAGGACUACUUCUUCGCUACAAAGAAAAUGGAAUGAAUUCCUGAAAGUUAAUUCUUCUAAGUAUCUUCGCGGCGCCUCUCCCGGUGUGCACUGAAUUAUAUAAAAUGAAGAAAACAGACUAUGAAUGUUAUGUUAAAUUUUAAACUCAAGUAAUGUGUUUGACAUUAAUUUGGGCUAAGCAAUGUCUUAUUAAUAUUUGGUUAACUAUUCUUUAUUUUUAUUAGCCCUAUUUAUGUUUUAUAAUAUAUUGGUGUUUGAUUACCAGUUAUUAUACAAUGGAGAUACUACAGCGUAUGUAACUUAAAUUUAAUAAUCUGGAUUUUCUUGAGUGAAUGACAAGACAUUAAAUUGUGUUAUUUUAUUUUUUUGAACAUUUUAAAUAAAUAAUUCAAAAAAAUUACUUAUAUAAUAUACAUUUUUUUAUUCAUUAUUGCACUUAGCCCGUUAUCCCUAUGUUAAGGUGGCUGUUAGACCUGUAUAUACAUCCACAAGGCAGGACACCAUUUGAUAAUAUUAUUGGGAUUUACUGGAUUGAUAUGAUUAAUCAUAUCAAUCCAGUACAUCCCAAUAAUAUUGAAGGUGGCCUGUAGAUCCAGGUCCAAUAGCAGAUCUAGGACCAGCUACUGGUAAAUAAACCAACAGGAGCAGGUAAACAAACAAUGCUGUUACCUCCACAUAAAGUGUUUGUCUACUAGUAAUGAAACAGAUUAGCAAGAGAUAACCACACCUUAACAUUAAUUAUUAAACAAAUAAUUUAAUAUUUCUUACUGAACUGUUAGAUUUACUAGUUAUUUAACACUUUAGCUUUAAUUAGCCAAAGUAACUUUGCUAAAGCAACUUUACCGGAGCACUAUUGACAGCCAAACAGUUUAGUUCAAAUAACAAAACUAAGUUAUCACCAGUUACCUAAAAGAAGUUAAUAUAAUAUUACUAAACUCUGUUUACAAAACAUGUUUUAGUUACUUGUAGCCCUCAGUUUAGUAGUCACUCGAUUUUGGUGAUAUGCAGCUAAACUUUUAGCUACUAGCAACCAUUUUUUUUUUUUCAGUGUAGCUAACUAGAGGCAAUACUAUUAGGUACAAUAAAACGAUUAGUUUACCUAAAAAAGAAUACUGAUGUGGCCAUGGCAAAUAUUCUCUAAGGCUUAUUUAAAAACCGUUUGUACUCUAAACUAAGGCCAUUAAAUGUAAAGUGUGAGACAAGGUCCUAACUUUUGGGAUUUAUCUCCACUGAGGUGGCCGGCUGCGGGUUAGUGGAGAGUUAAUGAAAAUUUGCUUUUUAACGAUCUUUGUACUUUAUUGUAACUUCUAUUGUACUUUAGUGUAGUAAAAAUAAGAUAGAUUUUGUCCAAAUCUAUGUUAUUUUUACUAUAUGUUAUUUUUUUGUAAAAUAGAUUUUUGUAAAGUUUUGCAAAGUCUUGCGCGUCGUCAGUUUGUGUAAAUUAGGUAUGUAAUUACGUCGAUGCACGCAACAUGAUUAGUCUCAAAAUUAUGAAUAGGGAGCAUCAUGUUUGAAGUGAAAUGUCUUUAGAGUAUUGGUUCAAAAUUAGAACAAACACUUACACCCCUAAGCUUCAUCUCAACUCAAAAAAGAUAGUCGCUUCGCCCCAUUAGCAAAAUGAAAAAUAAAAUACUGCUCUGAUUAUUUUAAGUGAAAGAUCAUUUAUCUUUCCUACCAUACGUCAAAGCAAACGUUUAACAAACUACAGUAUUUUAACUACUGAUGCAAAAACAGGGUAAAACAUAGUUAACUAUGGUACUGCUAACUAUGCUAUUAUAGAAUAAUUUUAUAGUUUAUUUGUGGCAUCGAUUAAUAGUUUAAGGGUUUUUUUAUUAUAUAUUUCCAAUAAAUUUUAUUUAUGUUCUUAUAUUAUUAGGGGUACAUACAUAGCAAGAAGUAGAUGUCCUGGGGCCUACCUCGAGACCAAUUCUAGAUAAUAUAUUUUUA